rnacentral:lncRNA from 1 species
AACAAAGAGGCACAAUGGUGCAGCUCGUUGACUGUAAAGAUGCAUUAAAUAUGGCCAUGCUGAAGGGGAUUUUACUGACAGAAGCUGAAGAAUGUCUUAGCCAUCUUGUGCAGAAUAUACAGGACAAAUAUGAUGGGGAGAUAUCUCGGUGUUCUGCUGAAGAUUUAGAGGCUCUUAUUGAAACCAAACUUCAGCUCGCUGCUAUUUUUCAGCAAAGGCAUCAAGCAGCUUUAAGUGUUGCUUUGGCUUUCUCUGCAAUUCGAAUUCUCCAAGAUGCAAAAAUUUUUAGCAUCGAAGUGAC